rnacentral:rRNA from 1 species
ACCGACAGCAAUAUGAAGGCCAGGCUGAAGACUUUGUCCGGAUUAGCUGAGAGGUGGUGCAUGGCCGUCGUCAGUUCGUACUGUGAAGCAUCCUGUUAAGUCAGGCAACGAGCGAGACCCACGCCCACAGUUGCCAGCGUACUCUCUGGAGUGACGGGUACACUGUGGGACCGCCGCUGCUAAAGCGGAGGAAGGAAUGGGCAACGGUAGGUCAGUAUGCCCCGAAUAUCCCGGGCUACACGCGAGCUACAAUGGUUGGUACAAUGGGUAUCUACCCCGAAAGGGGACGGGAAUCUCCUAAAACCAAUCUUAGUUCGGAUUGAGGGCUGCAACUCGCCCUCAUGAAGCUGGAAUCCGUAGUAAUCGCGUUUCAACAGAACGCGGUGAAUACGUCCCUGCUCCUU